rnacentral:rRNA from 1 species
GACGAACGCUGGCGGCGUGCUUAACACAUGCAAGUCGAACGGAAAGGCCUCUUUCGGGGGGUACUCGAGUGGCGAACGGGUGAGUAACACGUGAGUAACCUGCCCUUGACUUUGGGAUAACUUCAGGAAACUGGGGCUAAUACCGGAUAGGAGCUCCUGCUGCAUGGUGGGGGUUGGAAAGUUUCGGCGGUUGGGGAUGGACUCGCGGCUUAUCAGCUUGUUGGUGGGGUAGUGGCUUACCAAGGCUUUGACGGGUAGCCGGCCUGAGAGGGUGACCGGCCACAUUGGGACUGAGAUACGGCCCAGACUCCUACGGGAGGCAGCAGUGGGGAAUAUUGCACAAUGGGUGGAAGCCUGAUGCAGCAACGCCGUGUGCGGGAUGACGGCCUUCGGGUUGCAAACCGCUUUCGCCCAUGACGAAGCUUUGUGUGACGGUAGUGGGUAAAGAAGCACCGGCUAACUACGUG